GGAUAACAUGCCCUUAGGAGGGGGAUAAUCUCGAGAAAUUGAGGAUAAUACCCCAUAGGCCAUGAAUGCUGGAAUGCUUUAUGGCCCAAAGCUCCGGCGCCUAAGGAUUGGUCUGCGGCCUAUCAGGUUGUAGUGGGUGUAACGGACCCACUAGCCUAUGACGGGUACGGGCCUUGAGAGAGGGAGCCCAGAGAUGGACUCUGAGACACGAGUCCAGGCCCUACGGGGCGCAGCAGUCGCGAAACCUUCACACUGGGGGAAACCCUGAUGAGGGAAUUCCUAGUGCCUGCAUUUUUUGUAGGCUUUUAUCUAGUGUAGAUAGCUAGAAGAAUAAGGGCCGGGUAAGACGGGUGCCAGCCGCCGCGGUAAUACCCGCGGCCCAAGUGGUGGUCGAUAUUAUUGAGUCUAAAACGUCCGUAGCCGAUUCAGUAAAUCUUUGGGUAAAUCGGCCAGCUUAACUGACCGAAUUCCGAAGAGACUGCUGAACUUGGGACCGGGAGAGGCCAGAGGUACUUCUGGGGUAGGGGUAAAAUCCUGUAAUCCUAGAAGGACCACCGGUGGCGAAGGCGUCUGGCUAGAACGGAUCCGACGGUGAGGGACGAAGCCCUGGGGCGCAAACGGGAUUAGAUACCCCGGUAGUCCAGGGUGUAAACGCUGCAGGCUUGGUGUUGGGGGUCCUUCGGGGGCGCCCAGUGCCGGAGAGAAGUUGUUAAGCCUGCUACUUGGGGAGUACGUCCGCAAGGAUGAAACU
rnacentral:rRNA from 1 species